GCCUCAUUAAUGCGUCUGUAUGCCUUCUAGGGCUCCCCCACUGCUAUCUUGUAUUAGAUGCAUGAAAGUGUGAUCUUUGGAGAACUGCAGCUUCCUAAGGGCAGCUUUUGAGUUCCAUUUCAUCAUAAGUAAUCACAAUUUGAGUGAUCACCGUCUCUCUCCGCUAUUCCUGUGGACUUUCACUUUCUGAGGCGUGCAUCCUUGUUGUGACUUGCCUACCACAGUAUGGGCAGCCCCAAGACUGAAGAGACAUCUGUGAUUUCUUCUUGGAUGUGCUGUCAGAUAAAAGCAAGACUGGACCUCAUCAAUUAAUCAUGACAGCAGUUCAAAACCGCAACCACCUGACAGGUUCCAAAUGAAUGGGGAGAUUUUUAGGAAUUAAAAUUCCAAUUUAUGUUUUGGAUUUGGAAAUAUGCUCAGUCCAUUUGGUAUGACUCAAGAUUUAGAGCAUUUUGAAGUAUGUUUUCAUUUUCUUCUGGGAACUUCAAACAGUGGAUAAGUUUAUUUUUAUACAUUUACAGAGUUUAGGGAAUUUUGGAGCAUGUUUUCAUACUCUUAUGUGUACUUCAUCCCAUGAAUAUGUUUGCUUUCACUCACUGUUAUUAAAGCUGAGAUGGAUUUGUGUGAGCAUGAUUUGAUUUGAGUUUUAAGCCUUUCUCUGAACAUUAUGCAAAGCAAAAAGAACUUCUGGAACACAAAUAUGCAGAUUGUAUUUUAAUAUUAUUUUCAGCUAUCCUGGGAACUCAUUAAUUUCUUGUUAUAUCUUUGGUCUAAACAUAAUUUUAUAUUAAGUAAUUAAGCAAUGAACUUGCUAUCCUGUUUCUCAUAAUGACGUGCUUAUGUAUACAUAAUUCUAUAUUGGUAAAUGCUACUGUGCAAACAUUGCUCUGAUUAAAAUUCAUUAGUUGAUAAAAGAAAUUACAAUGACAAGAAAUUUGUGGUCCCAUAAGAUCAAAUGUUGUUUUGUAGCAUCGCUAGGCAAUGUACUAACACUAUGCAUUUUAUGGAUCUUUCACUAUUUGUCUAUCCAAUUAGCCUAUUUUUGCUUUUAUUUGAUCUCUCCAAGUUGUUGUCUUUUGCUUGGUCAAAGAUAUUCAGUUCUUUGUCUCCUGAAUUUGCUUUUUGAAACUUCUUGUCCUCGAUGAUGUACUGUUCACAAUUUCUUCUUCAAUAUUGAGAAGAUACAGAGAUGAUAAAUGGAAAAAAAUAUUAAAUUAAGGAAAAGGUUAAACUGUGUGGUUCCCCACCCCAUCCCCCCUGUCCCCCCCCCCCCCCCCAAAAAAAAAAAAAAGUGCUGAAAAGAGGAAAAGUCAAAGUUGUUACACUUAAAGUAUUCUAUUUUUGAAAAUUGAAUAGGAAAAUACUGUUUUCAUCCUGGAACUUUCUAAUAAAUCAGAAAAUGUUAUUUUAGAGGAAGACCCAGUUUUAACACACAUAAUCUAGUCGAUGCCAAAAUUUUAGCAUAAAUAUCAUUUUAGCAGUCAUGCGUCCAUAUACUUCUGUCAUGCCAACAGCUUGUUUUAUACCUGCAAAGCUUCCUUACUAUUUUAUAUCUAUUUCUGAGUAUGGACACACAUAUAAACAUAACCCAGGGUUCAUAAUAAAAAAAAAAAUAAUUUUUGAAUAAAUAUCUUGAGGAAAAGAGUUGCGUCUAGGCUUCCAGAACUUGAAUCCUAAAAUCAGAAUGUCUUUGCAAUUUGUCUGCAAUUAUUACACAUUGCCUAACCCUCACUGGCGUAGCUACGGCCUGCACCUUUCUCCACCCUGUUGUGGAGAGCUUGUUUUUGCAGUAUUCAGUCAUUUUAAGAGGUUACUCUGUUUUGUUUUGUUUUGUUUGAGCAAAUCCCUCUCUUUAAUGUUUUAGCUUCCAACACUGCAACAGGGGAAAAAAAUAGGUAUCCCUUAGGAAAGUCUCAGACGUUGACUAAGGAGUAAGCUGCUACAUCAGAUCAUUGCUGACAUGAGAUAUUCCAACCUGUUAUUUCAAUAAUAAGCAGUUCCUUUGUAGCUCCAGCAGCUGGCAGCUUGUGCUGUAAUGGAAGCACCCCGCUCCCCCUGCAGCCUUUCACAUAAAAAGGUAGCUGUUAUUUCCUAUCUUAAAAAAUCCUCCAGAACUGGUGACACAUUUUUUUUUAAAUAAGUACAACAAAUAACCUAAAAAUAGAACUGUAGAUGGAAUGUGAGCUACUUAGGAUGGAUUAAUGUGUUUAUUAAAAAUCUAGGGAUUUGGGAUAGUCUUGUGAGAUACACAUGACCUUUCUAUGAUACUCCCCAGAGAUACUAGUCAUACUGUCCGAGAGUAGUAUAAAGUCAUUCUGCCUCAUGCAAAAAAAUAUAAUUUAGGGCACUUGGAGCCUGGUAAUAGAAUACUGGACAUAGAAGUCCUGCUCAAAACGUUGUUUCACAUAUUCCAUAGCUGUCAAAUACUGCAGUUAUUGAUAUAAUUAUUGCAAGGGACUUCUCCCUUUGGAAACAAAUAAGUUUUGUGCUUUCAUUGCUAAAUAUAAAUAAUUCAUUUCUGCUUUUGAUAAAUUUGUGCUGAAUUUCUCUCUGCGCAAAAAAGGACCAGAAUCUGCCUCUGAAACUCUGUGCAUGGCAUAUGGUGAUCUCAGUUACUAGAAAUGUAUCUCGUCAUAAAAAGCAGACACCAAUCUCAGCAUUCAUCGGAUUAUUGCAUUAUUAGCAGUCUCAGCAGAGAGGUCAAGGAUUGCAGAAAUGGUGUAGGGGAAGCUAUCUUCCCCUACAAUAAAAGCCACUGAGUUCAUGGUUGAGGCCUGUUGCAGAGCAGCAUGGAGAAGGUGCACUUCAUAUUAUCAGUCUCCAGUACUACAGGGACUCACCGUUGUGCUUGGCAUCAUACAAACACCUAACAAAAAAAGUCUGUGCCUAGACCUUAAGGUCUAAUAAUCGUCUUCCAUCUGGGCAGAGAGGAUCUAAGUGCUCUAAAUCUGGCAUCUCCUAUCUGCCUCACAUUUGCUUGCUUUGUUUCAGACUUACACUGCUGCUGACUACAGAAGCCACCUCUGUAAAAACAGUGGAAUCAACUGAUCUUGCUCUUACAAAUUAAUUCUUAACAAGCUGUUAACAUUUGAAAAAUGUUCAAAUUAAGACAAUCAAAUAAGCAAACAGCUUAAUAAAGUCAGAUAUGGUCCGUGUAUUUCAAGACUCAGGCAGCUAAAUAAUAUUUUUUAAAAAAAUAUUGUGAUCUUGACAUACUCACACACUUACUGUGUAUAUUUUACAUCAAGAUAAUAUAUGUCUGCAGCACUUAGAUCACUGUGUCACAGUCUUCAAAAAUUAUAUAGUAAAUAAUGGUAAGAAAGAGCUUCCUAUACAAAUAAAACUCGUUUUAAAUAUAAACUUUUUUUUUUUUUUUUUUUUAAAUCCACCGGUGAGUAUAGGACUGGUUAUUAAAGUUUAGAAGAGCUGUGGCUUUUGAUACACAACUGGCAAAGUAUUCCAGGUGCUGUUGCAGUGCUGAUGUUCUGAAAAAGAAUGGGCUCUUCAAAGUGUGGCCUUCUGCCAGGAGCUGCUCUUUGCUGGGUAAAUGCUUAUGGCAGCAGCCUCAGCAACUUCCAUUCACCUCGGCCCUGCAUUUGGAACUUGCCUUGGUCAAAGGUGCUCAGCAGAGGAAUCAUGUUCCUGAAGUACCUCCUUAUGCAUCGCUGCUGUCAUCAGCAAUGUUAUAUUUGCUAUAACAGAUUUUUUUUUCUGCCUCAGCUUUUAUGUGACCCUUAUUGCAGAACAACUGGACACUGCAAGCCUCUUAGGUGGGCCGGCCAUCCUCUUCCUUUCCCAGCAGUGAAGCUGAGGUACCAUUAUGGCCUUUAUGUUAGGCUUGUUUGCUUCUGUUAAAGCUGUCCUACCGAAUAUAGGGCUGUUCUGGCAGGGAAAAUCUUCCCCAAACCACUGAAGCAGUAGGAAGGCUUGUGAGAUCAAGCCUUCGGGGUCUUUCUUAACAGAGCAGCUGCAGUUUUCCAGAAGCCCAGUGCAUAAUGGGUUGCUCGUCUGUGGUUAGACACCAUGUGCAUGGAAUCACCAAAGCUGCUUUAUUAUCAGACACAAAAAAAAAAAAAAAAGAGAAAAAAAAAGACUGUAUUUGUCUUUAUUACAAACAAUAAAUAGAAAUUUAAAAAUAAAAAAUAAAUCAGAAGAUCUGGAACUUCAACACAUCUAGAAGCACCAAGAAAAGUGAUGACAGAAACAAAAAUCUAUAACGAGAGGCUGAGAUGUUACAAAGCCAUUAAGGAAAAAAUAAGUUUUUAAAACAAAGAAAACUGUAAAGCAAAAAAUACUUAAGUAUUUUUGAGCAUGGUUAUUUUGGUGAUGAUAAUGUUUAAACGCUUUCAAAAAGGCUUAGAUCAUAGGACUUCUCUUACAACUUUUCUAUAAACUGUCCUCCUUGGGGAUGGAGUAAAGUUUCUAUAUCUGAAGAUACAUUUUUUCACAAUGGCUGUGCCCCAAAAUUUACUUUUUAUAAUUUAUAUGGGAUAUAUGUUUGUCUCUAGCUUUCCAUUUCCUAGUGAAAAUACCUGAAAUAAGAUGUACAAAUAAGAACUGUGCUGGCUUUAAACACUUUCAAUGCAGCACCUGGAACACAAGCUGGUUCUUACUGAUUUAUGCAUCCUGUCCUGUGGCAGAGACUGCACUCAGAGUGUAGCUAACUCCAGUUUCUCAGAGUCCAUCCUCUAUACCAAAUAACAAUCCACCAACACCUGUGUAGGUCUCUUGUUCUAGGGACUACCCUGGGGGACGUCCAGACCUACGUACUUUUGAUGUUCCUUAGGGAGAUGAUACUGCCCUGCCAGGUUGCUGUACGCAACAUGGCUGAUCAAAGGGAGGGAAAAAGAGUGUCACUGAAAAGAGUGUCACUGCUGGAUGAGUUGCUGAAAGCCCAAUGUACGUUUGGAAAUUGCAUGGAACUGUCUGCAUUUUGAAAUAUGCCUGAAAUCCCUCCUCCCCAUUUUUUUUUUCAUUCUUCUUCAUGGAAACAGAACAUUGUGGGUAAGGGCUGAUGCUCAAGGGGUACAAAAGACUGGUGGCACACAGUUGAGACAGGAGCCAUUGAGAGAGAACAAGAGGCCUGCUGCCAGUUGUAUUAAUAAAAAACAGAUUAAAGACUUGGAGGAAGAAGAAAAGGAUACAGCUCUACUUGCAGGCAGGAUAACUAUUUUAGGUAGAUUUUUGUCCUUUGUUUUAAAGCUGUACUGUUUAGUUUCUUAUGUGCUAUAAUUUCAAGGAACCACCUGCAAUAGCAAAUGAGGUUUAUACUGGCUUCCAGCGUCCCCUACCUUUUAGCAUUGUCUUGUGACAGAGCAGAUUGAAAUGUCUGUGUUCACAUCCUUAUUUUGUUCAGCCAUAAUAUUUUCAUUUCUGUUUUCUUGGAUUGGAAGCUUUAGAAGUGCUAGUGGUGUUUGCAUAUGCAUUUAUAAAUGGCCCGUGUCUUUGAAGUAUUCUUCUGUGAGCAGCCUGGAGGUGUGAAGACUUUGCUUCUGAGUCAAGGUUUGUGUCUGUCAUUCUUGAAGACUUGCAAGAGCAGCCCUUGCACUUGCUUUAUCCCCUGGGAUUACGUGGCAGUCUGGCACCUGGAUUCACAUCUCCUCGUUUACUUGUGUUUGAUAGCUGUUCUUCAGUGCCUGUAUCUUCAAAAACCUGUGUUGUUUCUAUCGCCUGAAAAACAUAAAACCACUGGGGAUUUACACAUACAUGAGAUGAAAUGCUGCACUGUAGCCAAACGGGCUUUCUUCCUUAGAUGUCAGAAUGGUUAUGUAAAAGAAGUUUUCUGCAGUGUAUAGGCAUCAGUUGCCAAUAUUUUGAACAUCUGAAACAGCAGCACUCAAAAUGCUAUCAUCUGCCUGAUGGAAAUGAAGAUAGAGCAAUCUUGGGUUUGGUACUGUGCAGUUCUAAUGCAGAGAGCCUUACUGCCUCUUUUGAGGGGUUGGAGCAGAGUUCACAGAGCUGGAAAUUAAUUCAGGGAAGUUACUAUUUCCCUCUCUCCCACUGAGAUUUGUUUUUUGUUUGUUUGUGUUUUUGUUGUUCUUGUUGUUGUUGAUGUUUUUUCACUAACCUGAAAAUGUUCAAAUACAUUUUGCUUCUUUACUAUGGAAAACAACAUGGUUACAGUUCAGUCCUUUUCUCAAAUAUCAUAUUUCUGAAGUCCAUUUAAUAGGUAUUGAUGAAACACCCGACCCUAAUUUAGUAGUGUUUGCUGCCAACCACAUGCUGCUUCUUUGGCUUUAUGUUUGUUAUUCGAUGCCUCGGUCAUGCUAUGGAAAGUGUUGCAUCUGUUCUGUUUUGGUUGAUACUGGUCAGUUCCUUCCAUUUCAAUGCUGACUUCCCAAAUCUUAAUAUAUUCCUUGCUUUGUUGCUUGUUCAUUCAGAACUCUGUUAACAUGUGGAAGGCAGGCAAGGUUUCAUGAGAAGAGUCAAGCACUGAAAGAGAGUACUGUUAUUUCCAAGGAUACGGAAAAUAUUCUUCACCUGUUAGGCUAUUAUGUGUCAAAUGCUGAGAAAAUAAUACUAUUAAUGAGUCCAAACUGGUCCUUCUGAUAAUACUGAGAAUGUCUGAAUUUCUGUUCAAUUUCUAUUCAAGAUAGACUCAAGUUUUCUGAUAGGUGAACAAAGAGACAAUCUUCUGAUCUUCAUACUGUGGUUGCCUCUUUCCUUUGGUGUUCCCCAGUAAAAUCUUCAGUAUUUCCCAAAGUAACCAGGCUUUACAAGCCUUUUGGAUGAUCUUUCCCCAAAAGGGCUUGCUUUGUUUCACCAGCUUUUGAACUUCUAUUUCUCCUUUAUUAUCCCUUUAUUGGUUGGUGUAGUGCCUAACUGAAUCCUCCCUCUUGAUUUCUGGAUGGUUGGAGCAAUGUUUGUAAAGCUCGAUUUCCAACAAUUUAAAGCAGGGUGCUCAGCCCCUAGGCAGGUCAGAGGGACAGCACUAAUCUGUCCUCCCAUCAUGGGAAAGGAGCUAGCUGGGUCAUCUGGCUGGAAGGUUUAAGGGGAUGGCUUAAGGUGCUGUAAUAUUCAUAUUCCCUCUCUUAGUAACAUCCUUUGAAGGAAGCUGGGGUUCAGAAAAGAGAGAAAAAAUGAAAUACAUGUCUAGCUUUAUACCACAUGGAUUUCUUUACUAUUUGAUUUAAAUAUAUAAAGAAACACCAAUGGCUAUUUAUCUACUACCUCUCCUCUGAUGCUAUGCUCUAAGAGUGUGCAAAUAAGCAGAAAUACACUCACAGUGCAGUAAGUGUAAAUUUUUAUAACAAGAUGCAGGUGCAAACUAGAAGAUAAAAAAAAAAUAAAAUCCAAACUUUUAACUGCUUUGCAGAGAAUAUUUAUUUCCUGGAUGAUCUUGUACAAUUUUUAAAGCCUUCCUCUUUCAAAGUGCUCUUAAAAAUAGCGCGUUUGAAACAAAUGAUCUAUUAUGCAAUAACAAUUGUGCUAAACAGAAAAAGAGCAGCUGUUACUGGAAGUUGCACUUAAUUGUUGUAUUUUCCAGCAUAAGGUUGCUUGGUGGGAACAGUGUGGGGGAAAAAUGCAAGCAAUUGCCAAAAACCAAGCACGUGAGGUGAAACUUGAAUUUGCUCUCAUGAGAACUUUCUAAGAUUCGUAAGUGGCUGAGAGAAGCAUGCUGGAUUUAAAUCUCUGGAGAUUACUGUAUAGAGAGAGAGCAGAGCAGGCAGUGUUGGCCAGAAAAAGAGAGGAGAAUGUAGAA